GACGAACGCUGGCGGCGUGCUUAACACAUGCCAGUCGAACGAAGAGCGAUGGAAGCUUGCUUCUAUCAAUCUUAGUGGCGAACGGGUGAGUAACGCGUAAUCAACCUGCCCUUCAGAGGGGGACAACAGUUGGAAACGACUGCUAAUACCGCAUACGAUCUAACCUCGGCAUCGAGGAUAGAUGAAAGGUGGCCUCUACAUGUAAGCUAUCACUGAAGGAGGGGAUUGCGUCUGAUUAGCUAGUUGGAGGGGUAACGGCCCACCAAGGCGAUGAUCAGUAGCCGGUCUGAGAGGAUGAACGGCCACAUUGGGACUGAGACACGGCCCAGACUCCUACGGGAGGCAGCAGUGGGGAAUCUUCCGCAAUGGACGAAAGGCUGACGGAGCAACGCCGCGUGAGUGAUGACGGCCUUCGGGUUGUAAAGCUCUGUUAAUCGGGACGAAAGGCCUUCUUGCGAAUAGUUAGAAGGAUUGACGGUACCGGAAUAGAAAGCCACGGCUAACUACGUG
rnacentral:rRNA from 1 species